rnacentral:rRNA from 1 species
CUUAUGGCGUGCUUAACACAUGCAAGUCGAACGAGAAAGUUCCUUCGGGAAAUUAGUAAAGUGGCGCAAGGGUGAGUAUCACGUGAAUAAUCUGCCCUCGAGAUCGGGAUAACAUGGUGAGAACUAUGCUAAUACCGGAUAAGACCACAUUUCACAAGAAAUGCGGUAAAAGGAGUCUCAAUCCCCGUUUGAUGAUGAGUUCGCGGACCAUUAGCUAGUUGGUGAGAUAAAAGCUCACCAAGGCUUCGAUGGUUAGCCGGCCUGAGAGGGUGAACGGCCACACUGGAACUGAGACACGGUCCAGACUCCUACGGGAGGCAGCAGUGGGGAAUAUUGCGCAAUGGGCGAAAGCCUGACGCAGCAACGCCGCGUGAGGGAUGAAGGUCUUAGGAUUGUAAACCUCUGUCGGAUGGGAAGAAUAAUGACGGUACCAUCAGAGGAAGCCCCGGCUAACUCCGUGCCAGCAGCCGCGGUAAUACGGAGGGGGCAAGCGUUGUUCGGAAUUAUUGGGCGUAAAGCGUAUGUAGGCGGUUUGACAAGUCAGGCGUGUAAGCCCGUGGCUCAACCACGGAAUUGCGUUUGAAACUGUCUAACUUGAGUGUAGGAGAGGAAAGCGGAAUUCCCAGUGUAGCGGUGAAAUGCAUUGAUAUUGGGAAGAACAUCGGUGGCGAAGGCGGCUUUCUGGCCUAAUACUGACGCUGAGAUACGAAAGCUAGGGGAGCGAACGGGAUUAGAUACCCCGGUAGUCCUAGCUGUAAACGAUGGGUACUAGGUGCAGGAGGUAUCGAUCCCUUCUGUGUCGCAGCUAACGCAUUAAGUACCCCGCCUGGGGAGUACGGUCGCAAGGCUGAAACUCAAAGGAAUUGACGGGGGCCCGCACAAGCGGUGGAGCAUGUGGUUUAAUUCGACGCAACGCGAAGAACCUUACCCGCUCUUGACAUCCACAGAACUUUCCAGAGAUGGAUUGGUGCCUUCGGGAACUGUGAGACAGGUGCUGCAUGGCUGUCGUCAGCUCGUGUUGUGAAAUGUUGGGUUAAGUCCCGUAACGAGCGCAACCCUUGUCCUUAUUUGCCAGCACGUAAUGGUGGGAACUCUAAGGAGACUGCCGGUGAUAAACCGGAGGAAGGUGGGGACGAAGUAAAGUCAUCAUGGCCAUUACGAGCCGGGAUACACACGUGCUAAAAUGGAAAGGACAAACGGUUGCAACCCCGCGAGGGUGAGCUAAUCUGAGAAACCUGGUCGUAGUCCGGAUCGCAGUCUGCAACUCGACU